GAGAUGUUAACACACACGGUCUGGAUGAGGCUGAUUUAAUCUUCGCAAAUAAUUAAGAGCAAACACUACAGGGUUGUGUACUUUCAGCCCCAAACCAAAGAAGAAGAAAAAACUCUCACAAUCAGGGUCGCACUCUGCAGAAGCCCACCGGAGGCAUUUAAAUGAUGAUGAUGAUGAUGUGAGCAGACUACAGUCUUGAACCAUUUAAAUGAUGAUGAACCCUAACUCCUAACUCCUAAAACAGGCUUGGGAUCUCACCUUUGUCACAGACCAUCAGUUAACCUGGCAGUCAACCCAGUACUGGCCUUAAUUGCUGUGAGGACUUUGAUCACAGUCCAUUUCACAGACCACUUCGGCCCAGGUCAAUCUGGCUGCACGCUACCGUUCUGGAGCUCAGUCGACUGUUAAGAUGUCUUAUCCAUCAUUCCUUCUGGAGCUCAGUUGACUGUUAAGCCGUCUUCUCCAUCAUUCCUGGACUUGUAAGGUUGUUUGCAGCGAGGAAGGACGCGCCGUGGACACGGAGCAGUCGCUGUGACAUGUCGGAGUCAAAACAGGAAGUUCGGGGCAACAUUCCAGCACGGAUAACUUGCCUCGGCCAGGGAGUGAAAAGCCUUCGUGGUUGCCAAGCUACGGUGUAACCAGGCCAACAGAAUCACACUGUUGUAGCAAAUUCCCACUGUGCUUGCGAGAGAUGUCCUGAAAUCUCAGAGUGAGUUCAAAUAUAACAAACAGGUUGUGGUAGAGCACACGUCUGAAGGACUGUCAUACAGGGUUCUAAUGGCCCGUCUGAAGGGUUCUAAUGGCCCGUCUGAAGGACUGUCAUACAGGGUUCUAAUGGCCCGUCUGAAGGACUGUCAUACAGGGUUCUAAUGGCACAUCUGUGAUGUAGAACACAGGGUAGGGAGAGCUGGAGCCACCAGUCCUGGCUCUCUACUCCGGGUGGGAAUCUGAGACUGGAUUUGUAUUCAUCAGUAGAGUCAGUAUGUUUUUAUUUUCCUUGCCAAAUAUUCCAUUUAUUCACCUUUUAAAACUGCUGUCUUAAUGCUUCGAUGACGUUAGACAUUUCAAUAUCCCAGUGUAGGUCUACAGCUGUAGUUAUUUAGUGUAGUGUAAUCUGUAAGAGGCCGGCAAGAUCUUAAUAUUUGAGUUGUCUUGGCUAGGUAGGGUGACACUUGUGUCAUUGACAUGUUCAUCUUUUAGAAAGAGUCACAAAUGAUAUGUUCUAAACACUAAAUAUAGGAAGUUGCAAUGAUGGUUGCCCUCUUGGAUUUAAAGCAUACAAUAAUACACAUCGUCCUAAAGGUCUGAAGUGACAUAACUGAUCGAAUAUGAAAUGGUGUUUACAUGUUUAAAUGAAGUGUCCAUCAGUGUGCUUUAGGGGGCCAGUAGCGCUAGGCUAGCUCUGCUAGUCGGCAUUCGCUGCUUUCUUUGAAGUCUGGAGCCAUUCCUCAGGAUUACAGUUAAGCUGGCAGUCCAGUAAAUGACUAGUAAUCCAAAAGGACUAAAUCGGCUACUAGAAUGGAUCCAAAUGUGCCGUCUUCUCUAACCUCCUUGGCAGCAUCCAUGUUGCCAUGGGAGUUGAGAUGAAAGAGCUUCCUUCUUCCCUCAGUUUGCAAAUGACCUGUCCAAAAACACUGCUCUAAAACGUCCUCUCUGGAGCAGACUGUAAUCCCAUUAACUGAUCUGAUCAGUCUGGCUGCAGCAGCAGGCGACAGAAGAGACACUGUUUCCUCGUCUCACCUCACAUGCAUCCGUCAUCAGGCACAUAUGUUACCUGAAAGUUUUUAAGUUUGUGCUUUACGAAGACUAAAAACUUUAUCUUCAGUUUUGUUUUCUUUAUUUGAAUUUAUGUUGUUUCUCCGCCCACUAUUUCUUCUUUUAAUUUCAUAAAAAAAAAUUAAUAAAUUGUGAAUUUUUCUAUAAAAAAAA
rnacentral:lncRNA from 1 species